rnacentral:rRNA from 1 species
UUAACGGAGAGUUUGAUUCUGGCUCAGAACGAACGCUGGCGGCGUGGAUCAGACAUGCAAGUCGAACGAGGUUAGUCUUGUAGCAAUACAGGGCUGACUUAGUGGCGAACGGGUGCUUAACACGUGACCAACCUGCCUGAAAGUGGGGGAUAGCUCGCCGAAAGGCGAAUUAAUACCGCAUGUUAUCGCAAGAUUAAAGCAGCAAUGCGCUUUUAGAGGGGGUCGCGGCCUAUCAGCUAGUUGGUGAGGUAACGGCUUACCAAGGCAGCGACGGGUAGCUGGUCUGAGAGGACGACCAGCCACACUGGAACUGAGACACGGUCCAGACACC